rnacentral:rRNA from 1 species
GACGAACGCUGGCGGCGUGCUUAACACAUGCAAGUCGAACGGAAAGGCCCUGCUUUUGUGGGGUGCUCGAGUGGCGAACGGGUGAGUAACACGUGAGUAACCUGCCCUUGACUUUGGGAUAACUUCAGGAAACUGGGGCUAAUACCGGAUAGGAGCUCCUGCUGCAUGGUGGGGGUUGGAAAGUUUCGGCGGUUGGGGAUGGACUCGCGGCUUAUCAGCUUGUUGGUGGGGUAGUGGCUUACCAAGGCUUUGACGGGUAGCCGGCCUGAGAGGGUGACCGGCGAAAUUGGGACUGAGAUACGGCCCAGAAUGCAACGGGAGGCAGCGGUGGGGAAUAUUGCACAAUGGGCGGAAGCCAGAUGCAGCAACGCCGCGUGCGGGAUGACGGCCUUCGGGUUGUAAACCGCUUUCGCCUGUGACGAAGCGUGAGUGACGGUAAUGGGUAAAGAAGCACCGGCUAACUACGUG